rnacentral:rRNA from 1 species
GUGAAAUGCGUAGAUAUUAGGAAGAACAUCAGUAGCGAAGGCGACAUUAUGGACUGUAACUGACGCUGAGGAACGAAAGCGUGGGGAGCGAACAGGAUUAGAUACCCUGGUAGUCCACGCCGUAAACGAUGGAUACUUGCUGUUGACCGUAAAGGUCGGUGCCGGAGCAAAUGUAUUGAGUAUCCCGCCUGGGGAGUACGGUCGCAAGGCUGAAACUCAAAAGAAUUGACGGGGACCCGCACAAGCAGCGGAGCAUGUGGUAUAAGUCGAAGCAACGCGAAGAACCUUACCAAAUCUUGACAUAUCAAAGCUAUCUGAGUAAAAUUGGAGUUCCAUUUGGACUUGGACUACAGGUGGUGCAUGGUUGUCGUCAGCUCGUGUCGUGAGAUGUUGGGUUAAGUCCCGUAACGAGCGCAACCCGUAUUUUUAGUUGCUAACAAGUAAUGUUGAGGACUCUAGAGAGACUGCCGAUGAAGAAAUCGGAGGAAGGUGGGGAUGACGUCAAAUCAUCAUGCCCCUUAUGAUUUGGGCUACACACGUGCUACAAUGGCCGGUACAACGGGUAAGCGAAGGGGUGACCUGGAGCCAAUCCUCAUAAGCCGGUCCCAGUUCGGAUUGCAGAUUGAAACUCAUCUGUAUGAAGUUGGAGUUGCUAGUAAUCGCGAAUCAGAAUGUCGCGGUGAAUGCGUUCCCGGGUCUUGUACACACCGCCCGUCACACCAUGGAAGUUGGAGGCACCCGAAGUCAGUG